AGUGAACGCUGGCGGUAGGCCUAACACAUGCAAGUCGAACGGCAGCACAGAGGAGCUUGCUCCUUGGGUGGCGAGUGGCGGACGGGUGAGGAAUACAUCGGAAUCUACUCUGUCGUGGGGAUAACGUAGGGAAACUUACGCUAAUACCGCAUACGACCUACGGGUGAAAGCAGGGGAUCUUCGGACCUUGCGCGAUUGAAUGAGCCGAUGUCGGAUUAGCUAGUUGGCGGGGUAAAGGCCCACCAAGGCGACGAUCCGUAGCUGGUCUGAGAGGAUGAUCAGCCACACUGGAACUGAGACACGGCCCAGACUCCUACGGGAGGCAGCAGUGGGGAAUAUUGGACAAUGGGCGCAAGCCUGAUCCAGCCAUACCGCGUGGGUGAAGAAGGCCUUCGGGUUGUAAAGCCCUUUUGUUGGGAAAGAAAUCCAUCUGGUUAAUACCCGGAUGGGAUGACGGUACCCAAAGAAUAAGCACCGGCUAACUUCGUGCCAGCCGCCGCCGUAA
rnacentral:rRNA from 1 species